CGUAACAAGGUCUCCGUAGGUGAACCUGCGGAGGGAUCAUUACACAAAUAUGAAGGCGGGCUGGAACCUCUCGGGGUUACAGCCUUGCUGAAUUAUUCACCCUUGUCUUUUGCGUACUUCUUGUUUCCUUGGUGGGUUCGCCCACCACUAGGACAAACAUAAACCUUUUGUAAUUGCAAUCAGCGUCAGUAACAAAUUAAUAAUUACAACUUUCAACAACGGAUCUCUUGGUUCUGGCAUCGAUGAAGAACGCAGCGAAAUGCGAUAAGUAGUGUGAAUUGCAGAAUUCAGUGAAUCAUCGAAUCUUCGAACGCACAUUGCGCCCUUUGGUAUUCCAAAGGGCAUGCCUGUUCGAGCGUCAUUUGUACCCUCAAGCUUUGCUUGGUGUUGGGCGUCUUGUCUCUAGCUUUGCUGGAGACUCGCCUUAAAGUAAUUGGCAGCCGGCCUACUGGUUUCGGAGCGCAGCACAAGUCGCACUCUCUAUCAGCAAAGGUCUAGCAUCCAUUAAGCCUUUUUUUCAACUUUUGACCUCGGAUCAGGUAGGGAUACCCGCUGAACUUAAGC
rnacentral:rRNA from 1 species